CAAACAUCGGUGAUGAGUACUUAAAAUCGUUAUCCUUGCACUUUGAUUGCCGGUGAAGAAAUUGGGGAAAUUUGUUUAUCAGAGAUGCCU
rfam:Punica granatum cultivar Dabenzi scaffold42, whole genome shotgun sequence.